CGUCAUGAGUAUCCAGGCAGAAAGACCCGACACAGUUUGGGCGGAGAGCAAGAGAAACCCCAGGGAGGUGGGGAAUCCCUCGAGGUUUCACUCCCCCCCCGUCCAGACAUCACCUUCUGGCCUAAGACCCUGAGAGCCUUGCCCAGGGACCUGGGACUUUGCCCUGACCACUCUCCUACUGCCUGGAGGACCCUAUUCAUUCCAAAGAGAACAACAUGGCCUAGCUGUGAGCAGCAGGCCAGCUUCAAGUAACUCUGAGGUCUAGCUAGCACAGGCUCUGGGCCCAGGGGCUUCAGUAGUUGCAGCACAUGGGAUCAGCUGCUCUGAGGAAAACUUGACCCAUCAGUUGAGUCUAUGAAUCCACCAAGAUAGCUACUGCCAAACACACCUCUGGCUCCCUAAGUAAGUGUUCUUACUUCUUCCUCUUCUGUUCCCCACCAGAUUAUAUCCACUCUCCAAUAGCUUGGACUCAUGCAUGAUGUAUUCUGUCUAUAUCCUGACAAUUCAACCAUCCUCUCAAGCCCCGCUGACUACUCCACCUCCUCCCCCUCUCACUGCAGCUCCCACUCUCUGAGGGUCACGUGGAUGUGCCUCCAGAAUUUGCAUGCAGGCAGGUGUACGUAUCCCUCCCUCUUUGCACUCCACAUGCCCCAGUGA